CCUACGGGAGGCAGCAGUGGGGAAUAUUGGGCAAUGGGCGCAAGCCUGACCCAGCAACGCCGCGUGAAGGAAGAAGGCUUUCGGGUUGUAAACUUCUUUUCUCAGGGACGAAGCAAGUGACGGUACCUGCGGAAUAAGUCACGGCUAACUACGUGCCAGCAGCCGCGGUAAUACGUAGGUGGCAAGCGUUAUCCGGAUUGAAUGGGUGUAAAGGGCGUGUAGGCGGGAAAGCAAGUCAGAUGUGAAAAGGAUGGGCUGAAACUGUGGACUGCAUUUGAAACUGUUUUUCUUGAGUACUGGAGAGGCAGGCGGAAGUCCUGGUGUAGCGGUGAAAUGCGUAGAUAUUAGGAGGAACACCAGUGGCGAAGGCGGUGUGCUGGACAGCAACUGACGCUGAGGCGCGAAAGCGUGGGGAGCAAACAGGAUUAGAUACCCUGGUAGUC
rnacentral:rRNA from 1 species